GACGAACGCUGGCGGCGUGCUUAACACAUGCAAGUCGAGCGGUAAGGCCCUUCGGGGUACUCGAGCGGCGAACGGGUGAGUAACACGUGAGUAACCUGCCCCAGACUUUGGGAUAACCCUCGGAAACGGGGGCUAAUACCGGAUACGACACAGCUUCGCAUGGGGUCUGUGUGGAAAGUUUUUCGGUUUGGGAUGGGCUCGCGGCCUAUCAGCUUGUUGGUGGGGUGAUGGCCUACCAAGGCGACGACGGGUAGCCGGCCUGAGAGGGCGACCGGCCACACUGGGACUGAGACACGGCCCAGACUCCUACGGGAGGCAGCAGUGGGGAAUAUUGCACAAUGGGCGGAAGCCUGAUGCAGCGACGCCGCGUGAGGGAUGACGGCCUUCGGGUUGUAAACCUCUUUCAGCAGGGACGAAGCGUAAGUGACGGUACCUGCAGAAGAAGCGCCGGCCAACUACGUGC
rnacentral:rRNA from 1 species